CAGGAUGAGACUCCAUUUAAAAAAAAAAAAGAGGAUGACAACACUGCCUGUCUCACUGGAAUCUUGUAAGGAUUAAAUGGUUACUGUUUUUAACGUAGUUGGAAGAGUUUGUGGUCCUGUGUUUGUUAAAUAUACACAAAUUAACUUCCCAGCUCACCCAUGCCUAGUAUUAUGCAAGGGGCUUCACAUCAAUUACCUUGUUUGGUCUUCACCACAGCCACAUGAGCUUGGAAUGACUAUUAUUAGGGAAAGUGGACCCAAGAAGGUCAAGUUCCUUGCCUGAGGUCACACAGCUAGUAAAAGGCAGAGCAAAGGUUGAAACUCAGGAUGGUCUGUCUCCAGGACCGGGGCUCUCCACCACUCGGGCCUGCCUAUUCCAGGGCUGGCAGCCUCUCUACAGAGGUGAAGCGUCUACUGGAUCACUUUUGACCAACAACACAUCAGCCGGCAGAGGAAGGAGGGGUGGGCCAAGAAGGGCCCCUUCCCUCUCAGGCCGGAGAGAUUCCUCUGACUAAUUUGCUGAGUGACUUCGAUGGCAAACUGCAGCCCUGUUCCCUCCAGCUGAGACUCCUCCGUCUUGCUCAUGACUGGGUCCCCUGGGCAGAGCCAGGUCCUGGCAGAGAGCAGAUAUCCAGUAAAUACCUCUUGGCCCUAAGAAUGACUGGGAACACUCAUGUAGCGAGAACACCUUCCUGUGUGUUAUCUCAUCUCAUCCUCACAGCAGCCCAGAGAGAGUUUCACUUUUGUUGCCCAAGCUAGAGUGCAAUAGCAU
rnacentral:lncRNA from 1 species